GCCCUUGUGAAUUUAAAACUUAAGGCACUGGCCUCCUAAGCCAGGGAUUGUGGGUUCGUGUCCCAUCUGGGGUG
rnacentral:tRNA from 1 species